AGUCGUUUAGCUCAGUUGGUUAGAGCGUGGUGCUAAUAACGCCAAGGUCGCGAGUUCGACCCUCGUAAUGACCA